GACAGAGGGUGCAAACGUUGUUCGGAAUUACUGGGCGUAAAGCGCGUGUAGGCGGCUAAGUAAGUCGGGCGUGAAAUCCCACGGCUCAACCGUGGAAGUGCACUCGAAACUGCAUAGCUAGAGUCCUGGAGAGGAAGGUGGAAUGCUUGGUGUAGAGGUGAAAUUCGUAGAUAUCAAGCGGAACACCGGUGGCGAAGGCGGCCUUCUGGACAGUGACUGACGCUGAGACGCGAAA
rnacentral:rRNA from 1 species